UACAGAGGGGGCAAGCGUUGUUCGGAAUUACUGGGCGUAAGGGCGCGUAGGUGGCCUUCUAAGUUGAACGUGAAAUCCCUGGGCUCAACCCAGGAACUGCGUCCAAGACUGGGAGGCUUGAAUCCGGGAGAGGGAUGCGGAAUUCCAGGUGUAGCGGUGAAAUGCGUAGAUAUCUGGAGGAACACCGGUGGCGAAGGCGGCAUCCUGGACCGGUAUUGACACUGAGGCGCGAAAGCCAGGGGAGCAAACGGG
rnacentral:rRNA from 1 species